CUCAAAGCUCACCUCGCUGAACGCUCCGCGCCCGAUCACCUUUAGAAUCUCGAAGUCAUCCCUCUGUAGUCUGGCCUCCUUAAGCCUCGCCGCGAUGGGCUCCACUGUGGGGAGGCAGGAAGAGAUCUGACUUCCUGGGCACUGGAGUCCAAACACAGGUGAGCCAAGCCAUCUGCGAACACAGCUCCAAAGUGCCAAGCCAGGCCUGUGUUUCAUCCACUGGGACCUUCCUGAACCUCACGGCCACUCCAGGAGGGCUAGGGGAUGUGACAGUACAAACCCCUCUGCCAAUGCCUGCCUCUUCCUGGGUCCCAGGCUGGCAGGUGUGGAGUGACUCACCGCCUUGCCGGGCCGGGCCCAGGUGCAGAUGAGGCCCUCC